rnacentral:rRNA from 1 species
CGUGUAGGCGGCCCGAUUAGUCCGCUGUGAAAGUCCAGGGCUCAACCCUGGAAUGCCGGUGGAUACUGUCGGGCUAGAGUCCGGAAGGGGCGAGUGGAAUUCCUGGUGUAGCGGUGAAAUGCGCAGAUAUCAGGAGGAACACCAAUGGCGAAGGCAGCUCGCUGGGACGUGACUGACGCUGAGACGCGAAAGCGUGGGGAGCAAACAGGAUUAGAUACCCUGGUAGUCCACGCUGUAAACGAUGGCAACUAGAUGUGGGGGGUGUCGACUCCCCCUGUGUCGAAGCUAACGCAUUAAGUUGCCCGCCUGGGGAGUACGGCCGCAAGGCUAAA